AUUGAACGCUGGCGGCAGGCCUAACACAUGCAAGUCGAGCGGCAGCGGGAAAGUAGCUUGCUACUUUUGCCGGCGAGCGGCGGACGGGUGAGUAAUGCCUGGGGAUCUGCCCAGUCGAGGGGGAUAACAGUUGGAAACGACUGCUAAUACCGCAUACGCCCUACGGGGGAAAGGAGGGGACCUUCGGGCCUUUCGCGAUGGGAUGAACCCAGGUGGGAUUAGCUAGUUGGUGGGGUAAUGGCUCACCAAGGCGACGAUCCCUAGCUGGUCUGAGAGGAUGAACAGCCACACUGGAACGGAGACACGGUCCAGACUCCUACGGGAGGCAGCAGUGGGGAAUAUUGCACAAUGGGGGAAACCCUGAUGCAGCCAUGCCGCGUGUGUGAAGAAGGCCUUCGGGUUGUAAAGCACUUUCAGCGAGGAGGAAAGGUUGUUGGCUAAUACCCAGCAACUGUGACGUUACUCGCAGAAGAAGCACCGGCUAACUCCGUGCCAGCAGCCGCCGUAA
rnacentral:rRNA from 1 species